GGAUUAGAUACCCUGGUAGUCCACGCCGUAAACGAUGGUCACUAGCUGUUCGGUUUUCGGAUUGAGUGGCUAAGCGAAAGUGAUAAGUGACCCACCUGGGGAGUACGUUCGCAAGAAUGAAACUCAAAGGAAUUGACGGGGGCCCGCACAAGCGGUGGAGCAUGUGGUUUAAUUCGAUGAUACGCGAGGAACCUUACCAGGGCUUAAAUGUAGGAUGACAGGUCUAGAGAUAGAUUUUUCUUCGGACAUCUUACAAGGUGCUGCAUGGUUGUCGUCAGCUCGUGCCG
rnacentral:rRNA from 1 species